UACAGAGGUCUCAAGCGUUAUUCGGAUUCAUUGGGCGUAAAGGGUGCGUAGGUGGCGCGGUAAGUCGGGUGUGAAAUUUCGGAGCUUAACUCCGAAACUGCAUUCGAUACUGCCGUGCUUGAGGACUGGAGAGGAGACUGGAAUUUACGGUGUAGCAGUGAAAUGCGUAGAUAUCGUAAGGAAGACCAGUGGCGAAGGCGGGUCUCUGGACAGUUCCUGACACUGAGGCACGAAGGCCAGGGGAGCAAACGGG
rnacentral:rRNA from 1 species